rnacentral:rRNA from 1 species
CCUACGGGCGGCAGCAGUGGGGAAUAUUGGUCAAUGGACGAGAGUCUGAACCAGCCAAGUAGCGUGAAGGAUGACUGCCCUAUGGGUUGUAAACUUCUUUUAUAUGGGAAUAAAAUGUUCCACGUGUAGGAUUUUGUAUGUACCAUAUGAAUAAGGAUCGGCUAACUCCGUGCCAGCAGCCGCGGUAAUACGGAGGAUUCGAGCGUUAUCCGGAUUUAUUGGGUUUAAAGGGUGCGUAGGUGGUUUGUUAAGUCAGUUGUGAAAGUUUGCGGCUCAACCGUAAAAUUGCCGUUGAUACUGGCAGUCUUGAGUACAGUAGAGGUAGGCGGAAUGCGUGGUGUAGCGGUGAAAUGCUUAGAUAUCACGAAGAACACCGAUUGCGAAGGCAGCUCACUGGACUGCAACUGACACUGAGGCUCGAAAGUGUGGGGAUCAAACAGGAUUAGAUACCCGAGUAGUC